UCAGGGCCUGCACUUUUGUUUUACUCACCCCAGCUACUGCAGCGUUUGAGCCAUCCGAGGAGUUUAAAUCUUUAUCUUGGACGAUCAAGAACAAAGAUUCAGAACGUGGCUGUUAGGAAAAAAAAGGCUCCCAAGACUCUGCCUGAUCGCUUGCCACGGAGCUGGAAACACCCACCCUGGCUGCUCCAGUGCUUGCAAAAGUUCACCAGCCGUUCUAACCAGCAAAGCAUGACAUGAGUCAGCAACUUUGAGACCUCUAUGUGACUACCCACCCGGAAUAAAUUUCACAGAGAGAUAAUGGUCUCAUCAUGUCCCUGGUGUGGUAAGGAGAGAAACUCCAUCUGUAAGAGGGAAAGUUGGACUGAAAAUUAGCUGCAGGCCUUGAACUAGCAGUCUCCACUAAUCUCCUUGAUUUAUUAAGGCAGAAUUUAGGAUCAUCUACAGUAUGAAAAAUCAAGUAAAAUGUUGAUUAGCUGGAGUAAAGUUUGGAUUUAGUAACGUCAUGAAGAGACAGGGAAUUUACUGCAGCUUCUUGCCUGCACCUAUCUCCUUCUCCAGCCACUAUACGCUGCUCCUCCGUCUUCCUGCUCAGGCCCCCAUCCAGCCAAGCAGUGAUGGGGAGGUCCUCUCAGGUUAAAAAUAUAUGUCCAAUUCAACUGCUGCCGAAGAGGGUCACUAGCUAAGUAGUUGGUCUGAGAUUCCAGAGUCUUGAAGGAGGCGUCUGCUUCCUUUCCCCUACAAAAUGGUUUGGAAGACGAUCCUGUUUUUCUUCAGUGACAGGGAUACAGUGAAUGAGUACAAGUCUCAAGAUAAUCGCGCUUAAAGUCCAAGUUGCUGGAAUUGUUUUUAGGGGAACUCCUACAGUUUAGGGGAAGAGUUUCAGUCCCUCAGGAACCACACAUGGAGUGUCCUUUCUCUGCACUUGAGUGGCAGAAAAUGAGGAAGAACUGAGAGGAGGUAGCAGUUGCCUCUACAAAACCAUGUCCCCACAUGCCCUGAACUCAGUGAAGGACCCUCCACUUGUGUAAGAAGGUAAAGGAGCUGAGUCCAGCAGUGACAAGGUCAGUGAGACUUCCCCCAUGACCAGCAUUAAAUCUGCAGAUAAGUAUCAGGGUGUCCGUUAUUUUUCUAUUCUCCGCCAUGUGGGAGGGGGGAAGAGUCAUGCUGUCAGAUUGCCAGGGUCUGAAAGGGCAGGAGUCUUGGAGUUGUGCUCAGAAGCACAAGGUCUCUGCACAGAUGGUUCUGUGCCUCUGCCAUAUUCAAUACUAUGUAUCAUUGAACCUUUUCUCAUUCUGCAGUGAGAAGAGACAUUCCUGGCCUGUCCCUUCCCAGCUUCAUAAUCCAGGAGGAAACAUCUGUAUCGAGCCUCAGAAACCCCUUCCUCUGCCCCACUACACUCCCUGGUCUCUUCCCAUUUUUUUCUCAUGGGGGUGAGGGCAAUCUUGUCUGUGUUAGGACCUUAGACUUUGGCCCACAGUAAACUGUUGGGAAUUAGACAUGAAUCAGGCUUGCGUAUUGACACUAGAGUUUUAUUUUAUGCUCUGUAUUUCAGCACUGGGUGUUUCAUCCUCCUAUGACAAAGUUACAUAUUUUCAGCCAAAGAAUUUACUGGAUGCAAGACAUUCUAGGAAGAUACUAAGGGAAAGUAAUCUCUACCUUUCCAUCACAAGGAUGCUAAAAGAACAGUGGACAUUUAUAAUAAUGUGAUAGCUACUGUGUUAACUCCAUUCGUGCCCUAGUUUGAUUUUGUUCUACACAGUGUAAACAGUGCUGGUGUAGGCCCAUGCAUUUGGGGCAAGACUAAACCUACAGCAAGCUUUUCAUUUUUGGUAUAACUGAAUGCAAAUGCUGUGCUGGGGGCAAUAGAGGCAGAUUUGGUAUGGUCUCACUGGUAUAGCAGUGGUUUCAGGCAUCCCAGCCAAUGACAGGAGAAUUCUAGGCUCAUGUGUGGUGUGUUCCCCCAGAUUGGUUUUGGCACGAAUGCAUGUAGCUGUAGUCUGUCUUUUCAAGAAGCUUUUCAGAAGGAUGGCCUGGACUCCCAUGUACAGGAGAUACACGGCUGUGUGCUUUUGUUAUAAGGGGAUAUGCAGUGUCUGAUUAAUUUAAUUUACUGACCAGAGAUUGGCUAAAAUUGAACCGCUGCAUAAAUGAGAUUAUGCAGAUUGGUUCAGGCAGGAAAUGUGAAGAAAGUGUCAUUUCCCUAGGCCUUCUGAAUUGUAAUGAGGAGCUGCUUCUCCGGACCAGCAUAGUGUGAUCAUUGACCUAAGGCUGAGUUGAGGACAUCUGGAGUCAACUAUGGACUGCUGUAAUGUGCUAUAUGCUGGGCAACCUUAGUAAGAGAUCUGCUGCCUGCAGCUGGUUCAGAAUACAGUGUCUGAUUGUUGCAGGGGGCGAUUAACAGAGGUCAGUCUGACUGCUCACUGUCUUGCUAUCUAGCUCAGCUGCCUGUUAGCCCAAGUAUCAAGGUUAAAGUUUUUAAUUUUAAUAUUUAAAGCUCCAAAUGGAUUCUAUCCCAAGUGUCUUUCUGAACUUCUGAUGCCCUGUAUUCCAUCCCAGCCUCAAAAGUCAGAGGGAAAGACAGCUUUUUGACCUGAGGGCUUUUAGUGAUGGACUAAGCAGAGGUUGUACUUUUGCCUGUGGAGCUCUAGGUCUGCGGGAAUGCCUUCCUUCCAGAAAUGAGAACAAUCAUACAUUUGGUAUUUCUAAGAGGUCUAUACACCAGCAUUCAGAAAUGUGAGAACCCCUGCACUGUAAGUGUUUUAACUGUUUCUAGAUAUGCUCUGACUGAAAUGUGCACUUGUGCGUUGCACACUGAUUGUGUGAACCCUGCUGGCGCUCACUAAAAGUUCUCUAGUGUGCACUGACUCAGUCCUGUUUCACAGACAGUUGGUGCAUGACACACUGGAACAAACUAGAAUUUACACCCCCAUUGGUGCACACUUAUGCAGCAUGUAGAUAAGCUCUUAGCUCAGGCAGAACACCCAUUACAUUCAGUAGGAGUUUGAUGGGCUCCAGAAUCCGUCAUUUAGUUCAUACUGUCUAUUUUGAUCUACCCAUCAACAGGAUUCAUACUGUAAAGGCGACAAUAUUUAUUCAGGCAUUCUGUAUUUUAACAUCAAAAGCACGGGAUAGAAUUUAAUACACACAGAUUAUUUGGAUAUUUUAUUUUCAUCCAUAAAGUUCUACAAAUGAGCAAAUAAAGGAAGUAAAGAACACUACACUUAAAAUGAAUUGUGUUAACUUUGGCAAACACUCUGUUGCUGAGUUCAUUGCAGUAGCAUUUGCAAAAAUUAUACUAGAUUUUCAGUCCUAUGAGCUUUAUAUUAAAAGUAAAUUAUCACCAUUAAGCUACAAAGGAAUUGCCACAGAGCAUAAAUUUGAAACAAC